rnacentral:tRNA from 1 species
AAGGGUAGAGCAUAGCAGUAGAGUGUGUGCUUGGGAUGCACGAGGUCCUGGGUUCAAUCCCCAGUACCUAUA